CGGGAAUCAUUGACGGGGAUUUCUGAUUGGCUGACGUUACUGUCAAUCACGAUACUGUUUCCGCUUAGCUGUUAAGUGCGUUUUAUGGCAAAUUUACUUUUGGGACUUUUGUCAAAACAGCAGGGAGAGAACUGGAGCCUAUCCCAGCUAACUUCGGCCGAAAGGCAGACCACACCCCGAACUGGUCGUCAGCCAGUCGCGGGGCGGAUAUCGACACCGUCGCUGAGUGGGAAUCGAUCCCACGCUGCCUGCACCGAAGUCGCUUCUUUUCCACACGGAGGGCGGAGCCCGCGCACCCCCUCGUCGAGCUGCCGCGGAGGACUCUGAAGGACACCAGGAACUCACUUCAAGUCUUGCACGUUCCCUGAAAGCCAAUCAAGAAAAGCCCCAGAACAAUAAUCCCCGCAUUCGUUCUCAUUCUGUUCCAUAUUUUUUAUUCAGAAAGAGUCGUUGCGACGUAAAAUCCUCAUUCCGUUAAAAAUGUAACGAGCAGGAAGAUCUUCAAGCAGAUGUACUGGCUUUUCAUCUCAGGAGGUCUUGUCCUGGGGGCUCGCCACCCACUUUCAACGAUAAGUUGUUGCCAUUUUCUUUGCCUCAUAGUGGGCACAUUUCGUGGAAAGUCACAAUAAAGCUCAUAAAACCGCUCAAGCGGCGAAGAUUUCAUGUCGAUCGUACCAUCAUGAUGACCAACAUUAAAAGAGAGUCGAAUUUUAGUCUUUCUUUUGUUUUUUAUUAUUCCUCAAAAGUACAUUUAAUAUUACGGGAACCUCUAGUAACAUUGUGCAUCAUUUUAACAUUAACGCUGUGCUUAACUGUAGGAAAAUGGGGGGAAAAAUGACUUCAAUAAUAACUCAAUGAAAUGUAUUACACAUUAAAGUACACAAAAAAAAAUUAAAACACAACAAAUUCUUCUUAAAGAUGAAAUCCAAAUGUAUUGUACUUCAAACUUAAAUAGAUUAAAUAUAUGAUGCACCUGAUAAAUUAAAAAAAACAAAACAAAAGUUUGCACCUUUUAAUUGAGGGAUUCUUUCACAAAGCGAUACGGGGAGCGUGUUUAGCGGCACUUAUCGCGAUUCCAAAGAAAUAAUUGCAGACUUGCAGGUUGCUUGUGCUAUUGUUUUGUUUUUAUUUAUUAGUAUUAUCAUUGCUAUUGUUGUUGUCAUAAAUUGUAGCAGAACAAGAGAAACCAAAACAUCCCCUCAGCAAUCAUGG